rnacentral:rRNA from 1 species
CUACGGGACGCACCAGUGGGGAAUAUUGGACAAUGGGGGAAACCCUGAUCCAGCAAUGCCGCGUGUGUGAAGAAGGCCUGCGGGUUGUAAAGCACUUUCGGUUGGGAGGACUGCUUCUAGCACUAAUAUUGUUGGAAGUUGACGUUACCUUCAGAAGAAGCACCGGCUAACUCCGUGCCAGCAGCCGCGGUAAUACGGAGGGUGCAUGCGUUAAUCGGAAUUACUGGGCGUAAAGCGCGCGUAGGCGGCUAGACCAGUCGGGUGUGAAAGCCCCGGGCUUAACCUGGGAACUGCAUCCGAUACUGUCUAGCUUGAGUACAGGAGAGGAGAGUGGAAUUCCACAUGUAGCGGUGAAAUGCGUAGAUAUGUGGAGGAACACCAAUGGCGAAGGCAGCUCUCUGGCCUGAUACUGACGCUGAGGUGCGAAAGCGUGGGGAGCAAACAGGAUUAGAUACCCGUGUAGUC